rnacentral:rRNA from 1 species
AGCGAACGCUGGCGGCAGGCCUAACACAUGCAAGCCGAACGAACUCUUCGGAGUUAGUGGCGGACGGGUGAGUAACACGUGGGAACGUGCCUUUAGGUUCGGAAUAACUCAGGGAAACUUGUGCUAAUACCGAAUGUGCCCUUCGGGGGAAAGAUUUAUCGCCUUUAGAGCGGCCCGCGUCUGAUUAGCUAGUUGGUGAGGUAAUGGCUCACCAAGGCGACGAUCAGUAGCUGGUCUGAGAGGAUGAUCAGCCACAUUGGGACUGAGACACGGCCCAAACUCCUACGGGAGGCAGCAGUGGGGAAUCUUGCGCAAUGGGCGAAAGCCUGACGCAGCCAUGCCGCGUGAAUGAUGAAGGUCCUAGGAUUGUAAAAUUCUUUCACCGGGGACGAUAAUGACGGUACCCGGAGAAGAAGCCCCGGCUAACUUCGUGCCAGCCGCCGCAGUAA